rnacentral:lncRNA from 1 species
CCCAUGCUACAGGGGUUUGAGUGAGAGCCUGAAGCAGGCCAGGGGCAGGCUCUCACACCAUUGUAAACAGUCAGGAGUGAGACUGGAAGGUUUUGUUAUUUGCUUUGUUUGUUUUUCCUGUCUCUAAGAUAUAGAUUUGAGGGACUUCAAAUAACAGUAGUGGGCCAAACCAGAAUCUUAGUGAUAAGCUAAUGGCAUGGGCUGCUUUAGAAGUAAGUAUAAAAGUUUAUAGUACAAAAGAUAUCCUUUAAUUUCCUUCUAAAUGAAGAUAUAAAUCUAACCUAAAAGGAGAGUGGAGGGUGAGAUGUUUUAUUGCUCCGCUCUUGAAUGCCAGAGCAGGAUUGUUGGAAGGGAAGCAGUGGAGUGACAAUUAAUACAACUUGGACCAAGAAAAAGACAAAGAACAAGUUCUACUAGGAAAAUUCUUAAAAACUUCAACCCCAGAAGUAUUAACAUUUAAAUGAAAGUGGGGAACACUAACGUUACCU